GCUUUUCCUCCUCCACCAGCUGAGGCACCCGGUCUCCCGGUUUCCACACGCGUUCAGAGACACAAACUCACCCGCCGCUGAGGAAACGGUACUGCCUUCGCGACCUUCUGGGAUCCAGGUUACGAGUGCGCUCCACUGGUUCGAGAUUUCUGCCCGUCGCUCGCCAGGGAGACUGAGUGCCCAAGCGCCUACUCGCACAGGCCGCAAAUACAGCCGCGCUGCGCGGCGAGCUGAUGGAGGUCUUCCUCUUGCCCGGCGUGCACUGCGGCCGGGGGCGGGGAGCGCGGAACCAUAGAGAAGAACGUAUAUAGAUCGUCUCCGCUGUUGGCUCUGACUCACCAAGCCGAGACGAAUAACCAUAGAGAAGCAGCGUCUAGCGGUUACUAGAAAGGCCCGAACUGUAAAUUAUGACCCACCAUGUUUGAUUGGAGCCGACUGAAUCUUACGACUACGGGACGCCAUCUUGAGGUCAAGGUUCCGGCUGGGCACGGCGCGAGGAGUGUUAGAGGCUUUCUCACUUUUCGUAGUUUUUCGGGGGGUGGAACCUUGCUUUGUGAUUCCUUGAGGUUCGAGGAACUGAUAACUGGGCGCGAUCUGCAACCUUAGUGUUAAACCCCAAGUGCUGUUAUAACAACUACUCGAGAUCAACAAAUAAUUGGCAAAGGCUGUGGAGGUUUUUUGAAAAGCAAAAGCUUAUGCGUAGUUGUAGGGCCAAAGAGGUGGCUAGAAGAUGUUUGGAAAAACGUGAAAAGUCCUGUAAUACUAGUUAACACAGCUUUCGUUCUGUAAUCUAAACGUGCUAAAAGAACUUAGCUUAAGUUAAUGGAAAUGAAUAAAAUUAAUCAUAAAUGAUUACGUUAUUCCAAUUGUGGACCUUAUAGGCAAUAUCUAGUUACACGCCUUUCUCAACUGCUUGCCUCUAGGAAGGCAUAAAACGGAUUCAGUAUAAAGUUAUUGCCUCCCUGAGUUCCUGGUGCUGUGUUAAGUGCUGGAAGUAUGAAGGCAAAUGGAAGUGAGAUUUGUUCCUGUCCUGCAAGAACUGUGAGCCAGGUGAAAUAGAUGACAAACCAUGACCAGCCUAAUAUAAAAUUGAAACAUACUACACACUUCCUGCCUGCCUCCCCUACUUAAUUUUACUCUAAAGCACUCAUAACCAUCUAUCAUAACAUACAUUUUUCUUGCUGAUUUUAUGGUCCGUCACUACCCCCACUAGAAUGUGA
rnacentral:lncRNA from 1 species